rnacentral:miRNA from 1 species
UGGCACGGCGUGAUGCUGAGUCAG